ensembl:lncRNA
GCCUUCUCAUUAGCUGGCCUAACGAGCCUGCACCCCAUGGACCCCAUCUCAAUGAAUUAUCAGCUGCUAAUCAAAGGGACAAUUGCCAAAACCACCCCACUACAUCGUGGGAGGGAGCGAGUGGGAGACUCCACCCCACCCCAGCCUCCAGGGACACCUCAGAUGUGAUUAAGUACAUAUCCUGAGACAGACAGAGGUAGACCAUGACUCAGGGACCCAGGACUGCUCCACAGGUGACACAGCUCCUGACACCCAGCCAGCUCAUGGGAGCAGAGAGCCCAUAGGAAGGCUGGGCUCCGAGGCUGCUCCUGGCUGCACUCGCUCUCCCGGCUGACCUCCAGGAGACUCCUCGGACACCUCGUGACCCUCACCUGCUCUCAGGGGCCCAGGCCUGGCCACGUGCACAUCUCAUACCCUGGCCGCCGCCUUCGGUUCAGGGCUGGACACAGGCCCCGAGUCAGAGAGGGACAGCGGGGACAAGAGACGCCUCUUCCUCCAGAUCCUGUUUCCGUCACCCCUCAGCUGGCCCUGGAGUCAUGCCUCCCCACCCUCUGGACACAGCAAGUCAGCCUUCUCACAGAUGUAAACCCACUGCUCAGGGCACCGUGGACACAUGGUAUGUAGUCAACAUACCAGCAGGAUGUGGCAGGACUCACAGGUCUCCCCUGGGAGGUGGGGCCCUGCUGGGAUAGGGUCCAAGGGGCCAAUGAGCAGGCAGGAGAAGCCGGCGCUGAGAUCAACCC